rnacentral:lncRNA from 10 species
CGCCGUGCUGACAGAGGUGUCCAUGGAGAAGACAAACCGUCCUGUGAAGCCCUGGGCAUAUGUUGGGUUCCCAGUGUAGGUGUUGAACCAUCCCAUCCACUCAAGCCCUUGUCCAGGGGCCUGUGGCACCCAAUUCAUACCAUAGGUGGUGAAACUGUAACCAGAAGCCUUGCAGGAGACCUUCACUGAGGCCCCAGGCUGCUUCACCUCAUGGCCAGACUGCACCAGCUGCACCUGGGAGUAGGUACCUGUGGAGAGGACACAGGGGUGGGUAAAGCCUCACUUGAGUGGCCUGGUUUCUUCCUCAGCCCUGAGACUGGGGAGCCCCUUACCUGUUGCUGCUGCCACCAAGAAGAGGAUGCUCCAGGUCCAGUCCAUGUGAAUCAGCCUUAGGAAACCCAGCGAACUCUGCAGGGACACCCCAAGAAAAGAUCUCACGCAUCACCAGGGAGCCGUUUCCUGGAGCUCGAGAGGCACUGAAUCAUUGGACACAUGGUGAACCCAAACACUCUUCAGGGGUUUGGGGGGACUCUUAUUUCCUUUAGGGUUCUGCAGUUGAUUAUUGUACCUGAUAAUACCUGUAGGCGCAGGUGCAUGUGGAUAGAAGCCCACUCCAACUCUACUAUUCAACUCAGACACACACACACACACACACACACACACAUACACAUUGUGGCUAAUUUUUACAUUAGUGGGCCCCAUGUUUGCCCUUUUUUCUGGUAUUUUUCUCAUGAAAAGCACUCCCUACACUGGAACUAAGACUGAAUAUGUGUCUACUUUCUGCAAACAGAAUUAAAGAAAACAGAAUACAAGUGCCUUGCCAAGAUUAAUAUAACUAUGUAAUUUAAUGAUGUAUUUGAAAACCUCCUGGUCAUACAAACACACAUACGUGCACAACAGCCCAGCAAAGACUCAUACAUGUGCCCAUGCAAAAGUGAAUGCAUACGUAAACACCAAAACAACACACCCAUUUGUUUCAUAUUAUUCUAAUUAUUUAAUUGAAUUUAAAUUGUGUUUGCAGUUUGAGAUUUUAGUACAAAAUAAUGCUGAUCUACGUGUAUGUCUGCCUAUUCCAAUAUUAAAAAGACAAAUAUAUUUAAAUACAUGUUUUGGUAAAACUGUAUGUAAAUGCCAUUCUUGUCAAGUAUUGAAACAGGAAUUAAAAGAAAUUAAAGAAUGUGUAAGCAGAAACUCAGUUGUAUGUAAGAAAACCCAAUUCUCCCUGAAAAAGAGAAAGAGCUGGAGUCCUUUAAAAUACUAACUGCCUGUUUUUCUGUGGCUAAUGAGCCUUACCUCUCCUCCCUUCUCAGGCAUUUUGAAGACCCUGAUUCCCUAGCAGUGUAGCUGCAAGGUCACUAGAAAGAUAAACUCAAGUCGCAAAACAUGUUUUUCCUUGAAAAGGAAGAAAUGAUGUAAUACAUGUUUCAAUUGAAUAACUGUCUUUGUUUCUCACUUCUGUAGUAUGCUUCACCCUGCACAGAUGUCCCCUCUCCCACCCCACAAAAUGCUUAAAAGGUAACUGAACUCUGUUCUGGGCUCAGUCCUUUGGAUGUUAAUUCGACUUGGCCGGUGCACCUAAAUAAUAAAUAUCCUCCUGAACCUAAAUAAUAAAUAUCCUCCUGAACAGAGUCGGUCUCUCUGAUUCCUUAAAAAAUCCCAGAACAGUAUGGCACUUAAAUGUGCAAUGGUAUUUAUUUUAAAUAUCAGUCUGUUGUUAAUAAAUUGAAUAACUAAUAAGACAAACAUCACUUUUAAAACUGUAUUACCUUAUUUGUUGAAUUUAGAUGGUAAUUUUCAAACUAGGCAAGAUAAAAUUUUUUACUUGAAAAGUUUUGAAAAAAACUUCUUUGGCAUGAAUAUUCAAUACAAACUGUAGUCUUUAUUUGCCAACAUGCCUUUAUAAUAGAGAACAUCCAGCAAUAUGAAGCUAAACCCAGCCCAUGCUUUUUAGGGCUCACUCACAAUGGCAGCUUCCUAGAGGGUGGUCUGAGAGAGUGUAAGCACAUGGGGAUUUGGGCUUCAUCAUCAAAGUGAAGAAGUAAUUUAUGAAUUUUACAAUAUGUAAAGCCAGAAAAUUAACUUUCCCCUCAGGGCUUACUGUAGUGUGUAGCCCCUCCCCCGUAGUCUAAGUUAGAGAAUACUAACUGCCUGUUUUUCCUUCUGUGCUCAGUGAGCCUUAUCUGUUCUCAUUGGUUUCACAUUCCUUGAGGCUCAGAGGGUUCUUGCUUACCUCCCCAGCACAGCUGCAAGGUCAUAAGAUUGUUAAGUAUAUGUUACAGAACCAUGUAUUCCCAAGGAUGUAAGACAUGAAGUAACAAAUAACUGCCUUUGUUCUCUCUUCUGUAAUUACGCUUCCUGCAUCAUGUAGCUCCCAGCCACUGACUGUGUAAAAGGUGGCUGCUUUCUUUGUCCAGGGCUCAGACUUUCCUGGAUGCUAGUCCAACUGAGCCAGGUGAUCACCUUUUAAUAAAGGACUCUCCUGAACUCUG